rnacentral:lncRNA from 1 species
AUCGGAGCGGGGCUGAUCUGGUACGAGAGAGCCCCACCGAUGCUGUCGGGAGGAAAGUUUUGUGGAUCGGAACGGGGCCGAUCUGGUACGAGAGCCCCUCUGAUGCUGUCGGGAGAAAAGUUUUGCGGAUGCCAGCAGGGUUGUGCCGGCUUGGUGACGACCGGUGGAAGAAAAGAAGCAGGCGAGGAAAAGACGCUUUUGGUGCCGUCUGAGUUCAUAGAUAACUUGUCUGAACUCGACUCAGUUCAGUAAGUCCAUUAUUUCAAAACAUAUUCAGGUUUACUCUUAGGAAAGUUAGUUGGCUGGAAAAGAUCACAUUCGUAUCCAUGACAACUCCCAGAAAUCGUGAUUGCUGAAUGGUGGGAGAACAAUGGAUGGACUCACCAUGGGAGAGAAAAGAAGGAAGUCUGUGGAGAUGCAGAAAAAUAACAGAGAAUACUUUGCUUUUUUAAAAAACAUAGUUAUCAGAUUAUUUCUUCUAAAAAGUAUGUGUCACAANGAUUGUGAUCUUAACGAUACAUGCUUGGAAGUAAGAACAAUAUUUUCAAGCCUUCUUAAAGACUAAACCAUUUGUUUUGGCACAAACUUUAAGGAGCUAUUCUUACUGAGAUGAUUAAUCUAUGUUACUGCUUCAUACUUCUCAAUUUACCUUUCAUAAAAGNCUUCUUUCUCAUAAAAAAAAAUCAAAUAUUAGGGAGAACAGCUUCUAGCUCUACAGAUCUUACAUGACCUGCAAGAUUUCUACAGAAAUAGAGUUUGGGUUUUUUAAAAGUAAGUCCAUUUAGUUAACUGGAACUGUCUUUAGUGGGCUAAGGGUGACCACAUGUAUGUCAGCACCAUGCCCACAGUGCCGCCAUCUUUGUCUGCCUCACAGUUUCAGCCAUGUCCACUUGCUUUUGUCACAGAUCCAAUGUUCCCUCUUGUUGGUGGUUAGCAGGAAUAUAGAUUAAGGGGAAUCUGGGAACACUGGUGUUAUGAGAACCUUGAGCUGUAUUGUGCUAGACCAUGGAGGCAUGGGAAAUGCAGUCUCAUUGAGAUGUUUCAUAUANGUGAUGUUUGCUUCUGC